CCCCCAUGGGUGUGGUUGCUCCCACGCCGCGGGCACAGGGGAGCGAAGCAGGUACAGCUGAGCCCUGUUUGCUUUCCUGUGCAUGUCCUCUCCUCCUCUGUGAUUAAGGAGGACGAGAACUUUCUCCGCAGAGCCUGCACCGGGGCCGGGAAGGGUGGUUCACUUUGUGCUGGCAGCCAGUCUUGGUGUGAAAAGAGCCCUCCUCGGCUCUUUGAGGAUGCUAGAAGGAAAAACCCACACGCCCGAGCACUGGCCGUGCGGAAAAGCGUUCACGUGCUGAUGCACGGACUUCCGUCUUGCCGAUCCGGUUGUCCCUGGGCUUCCACUUAAGACCACACACACGGAGAAGAGCUGUGAUGCUGAGAGCUGCCAGGAAGGCAUCUGGAAGGGAAAAUAGCGACGAGUCUGCGAAGCAGCGAAGAGGUUGGCAGGAACGUGGGAGUCACAGCUUUGCCAGCAGGUGAUUUUAACAACGGACAAAGGGGUCAGAGAAAGCUUCUCUGCAGUGCACCCUGAAACCAGAGCUGUUGAGGUCCACCCCUUCUGAAACUGACCCUGAACCUUCACUCUGCCAGAGAACCAUUUCGGCCAGUGACAUGUAGACUCCGGCUAAAUUCGUCAAUAGCUGAGAGCUUGGGAGGUCACAUCUGGGGUUCCGCAAAGCAGAGGCAGCUGGAAUGUAAUGUGGGCUUGGGUAAAUAUCUCUCCCUCCUGGCUCAUGUGAUCCCCCGGAGAAGUUUUUGGACACAGAUCAUUAUUGAUAUAUUGGAAGUGUCUUCAGCCGUAUCGGGAGGGGUGUGCGGGGACCAGGAUGCCAAUGGCUGAUGUGUCUGCACGAGCCAUCUUGGUGAUUGAUGCCCGGUCCCGUUGCCAAGGCGGAUGCGUGGCCAUGCUCAUUCAUCUCAGCCUAAAUGUGGGUGUAUAUCGACGUACCCAUUAAACGACUCCGGCUUCGGAGACACAAGAUCAGAUUAGAUAAGCCCCUAAAUUUCUUCUUUUAAAAUAUGCAGAGAAAAAGGAGUUCAAAAUACCAAGUGCUGAUGAGGACUAAGGGUCCAGGAGGAAUUGGCAAACAUCUCAGAAUCCAGAAUUAAUGCUUUACACUUUAGGCUUCUUUGGCAAUCAAUACGUGCACAAAACUCCCAUUAACGUUCACAGGGGUUAAAACACGCAUAUCAACCACAGACCAUUUAUUUCCAAGUCUGAUGUGGGCUCUCUUCUGUGGAAGAUGGGCAGGGCACGGACCCAGGGCUGUCUGCCAUGACAUUUCACACCACUAAGGGCACAGGUGAUUUCGUUGCAGAUUUCUUCACACUGACCCCAUCUUUAUCCCGGGCUGACCUCCCCCAAAUCCAUCUGUUUUUCCAGCUGACAGCUCCUGAGUUUUGGAACUUCCUACACUCUCCCUGACCCCUGACAAGUUCAGGUGGCUACACCCCCUUUCCCACCCCUGUCUGAGCCUGCCAUUCUGAUAUGAAGUCCUCCGGAAGGAGGGGCCGGGAACAACGAGUCCCCCUCUUCCAGCCCCAGGACCACUGACACAGAGCCUAUAAUUUAUCAUAAAAGGUUACCGGGUUUAGCUAGCCCACUCUAUUAUUAAUCAGAUCGUUUUUGGCAGGUUGGAUUUCGUUACCUAUAAAUAUUCAUUACAUUUGGACUGCUUUAUAAACAGUAACAUUUCCUCCUGUUUUUAGAGAAAAAUUUGUAUCAUCUUGCCUGCUUGUCAGGCCUGGCUGUGGCAUAAGGCAAGUUGAUGUCUUAUCAAAAACCUGGGCCCCAUUCUCCGUGGCAAGUUGUGCCUUAGUGGUUACAAGACACCCGUGUGAGUCCAUAGAACUGGGGGCUGGCUGGUGCUCCCAGCCACGGAGAGAUAUUCCCUCCAGAGGGGCUGCCGUUUUCUUUAUGAAAACUCGUUGUUUUUGAAAAAUGUUUAUUUUUAAGAGCGAGAGAGAGAGACAGGGACUGAGCAGA